CACUGAGGGACACAUGAGCUGACAGUCAGUCUGCUACAGCAAAUAUUGCAGUCAUUUCCAACAAAGGCAAAACAAAUCUCACGUAUUCAGUGGCACUGCAGGUCAGGCACGAAGCUGUGCCAGCUCCCACAGUUCGGGUAGGAAAAGAAACCCAAGCAGUGCAGAGAGAUGAAAAUGAUGGCUGACCAACCAGCCAGGAGCUUCUAAUCACAUUACUGCAUUCUGCACACAGUGUGCCAUCGCUGUGAGCUGCAGUCUGGAGCUCCAAAAACGUGCAAGAGCACAACUCCUAUAAAACACUGAUCAUUGGGAUCACCAGCACAAGGGAGCAUUCUGUUUGGAUUCUUUGCCCUGGAGGCAAUUGAUGACCUUUCUUCAGCUCCGUGUCAAUCUGGCCAUGCAGGGAGACUUCCCCACACUGACACCAGGUAGAUUCUUCCUGCACAGUUGCUCCCACGUGGCAUCCAAAGGUAGGGAACUCCGUCUUGUUAACGUGCCGAAUUUCCACCAACCACAUCACUUCAUUUUGGGCUGUGUUUGUCCCCUUGGGGCUGUCCUCGAUGGACCUAACAGCACACCCAACACAGCUCCGAACACAAAACACAGAACUGAAGUUGGAAGGGACCUUUAAAGGCCAUCUGCUCGCACUCCACCAAACAGGGACACCCAUCAAUGCUCGGAGCACCGACCCCGGUGUGCCUGCAGGGAUGGGGAAGCACUGC